CUCUAUUCCGAUAAGGUUGGUCGUUCGUCGGUUGGUUGGUCGUUCAUCUCUGCGUAACUGCGUCGGAAAAUGUAAUUCGCAUGCGGUGUAAUCGAAACGCGCGGUAUAAAUCUGACGGGAUUCGAUCCACCGUCUACGGAUGUAAGGAAUCGAUGCGUUAUAGGAUGAUGAUCUAUGGCCGAGGUAAUAUAAAAUGUGGUUCGAAAGAAGUUAAUAAAGAGCUUUUUGCUUGGCAGAGGCUCGUAGAUCGAUC
rnacentral:misc_RNA from 1 species